CAGUAGCCGCGGUAAUACGUAGGGGGCAAGCGUUAUCCGGAAUUACUGGGUGUAAAGGGAGCGUAGACGGUUAAACAAGUCUGAAGUGAAAUGCCGGGGCUCAACCCCGGAGCUGCUUUGGGAACUGUAGAACUGGAGUGUCGGAGAGGUAAGCGGAAUUCCCAGUGUAGCGGUGAAAUGCGUAGAUAUUGGGAGGAACACCGGCGGCGAAGGCGGCUUACUGGACGACAACUGACGUUGAGGCUCGAAGGCGUGGGUAGCAAACAGGAUUAGAUACCCCCGUAGUCCCUGUCUCUUAUAC
rnacentral:rRNA from 1 species